rnacentral:rRNA from 1 species
AACGCNGGCGGCGUGGAUAAGACAUGCAAGUCGAGCGAUGAUCCAACGAUAGCAAUAUUGGAGGGGAUUAGCGGCGAACGGGUGAGUAACACGUAGGAAUCUGCCCUGAAGUUCGGAAUAGCCCGGUGAGAGCCGGGAUAAUACCGGAUGUGAUCUUCGGAUUAAAGGCUUCGGCCGUUUCAGGAUGAGCCUGCGCUCCAUCAGCUUGUUGGUAGGGUAAAAGCCUACCAAGGCGAGGACGGAUAGCUGGUCUGAGAGGACGGCCAGCCACAAUGGAACUGAGACACGGUCCAUACACCUACGGGUGGCAGCAGUCGAGAAUCAUUCACAAUGGGCGAAAGCCUGAUGGUGCGACGCCGCGUGGGGGAUGAAGGCCUUCGGGUCGUAAACCCCUGUCGGUUGUGAGUAAGGCCCGGCUUACGUCGGGAUUGAUAUUAGCAACAAAGGAAGGGGCGGCUAACUCCGUGCCAGCAGCCGCGGUAAUACGGAGGCCCCAAGCGUUGUUCGGAUUUACUGGGCGUAAAGCGUGCGUAGGCGGCGAGGUAAGUUUGGCGUGAAAGCCCCGGGCCCAACCCGGGAAAUGCGCUGAAAACUACUUCACUAGAGGUGUGGAGGGGAGUCUGGAAUUCCUGGUGUAGCAGUGAAAUGCGUAGAUAUCAGGAGGAACAUCAGUGGCGAAGGCGAGACUCUGGAAACAUUCUGACGCUGAGGUACGAAGGCUAGGGGAGCGAAGAGGAUUAGAUACCCUCGUAGUCCUAGCAGUAAACGGUGUGCACUUGCUGUGGGGGGAUUCGACCCCUUCCGNGGCGAAGC